CACUCCUGCUUUCUCUCCCUCCCACUCUCUCUCUGUAACUCCCUCGCUCAUCUCAUCCUCCUGUGACUUAGUUUGCUGUGCGCAACAACUGGCAGACGUCUGUCCUGUUCUCUUGUGAGGUGACAAGCUUGUUCGGGAGGAGAUCCUGUGUGUUUGGGCUCAUGGUCUUAUGGCAGCGACAGCUCGGUGGCACAACAACCUGAAGGAACGGAGGGACGGCAUCCUCAGCCUUCCCUGUCACUGCCGGCUCAAGGCAGCGGACGAAUGGGCGGCUUUGUGCUCAGCGGGUGCCGCUCAGAAGAGAUCUCUAGGAUCUGGCCUGGAUGUUUGCGAGCGCUUCCGCCCCCGGAGGCCGGGCUGGACCGAGGACAGGACGUGAGGUCCGUGAGCACCAGAUGCAACCUUUGACGGGGGCCUUGACUUGUGGUAAAGGGCAUCUUCAAUCAAUUCCCCUAGAGAGAAAACUCUGCUUUGGCCUAUGCCACUGUGGAUGGCUGAAAGUCAGACGAAGCCCCCUUUUUCUAAGGCUCUCUUCGGUGACGGGUAUUCUUGGGUGGAUAAUACGGCUCUCGUUGUUAUUGCUUAAGAAUACGCGUAGUUGAGGAGAGUCAUUGUCAACUGUCGUCUGGGAAAUAACCUUCACUGGUCCCAAAAACCUUCUGGCUUUGCACUGUGGCCGUUUAUGUAGCAACUAGGUUUUUUCUGUGGUUUUGUUUGUUUCUGGAACAGGAGACAGGCAGCUCUUGCUCAUUAUGUACUGCUAUCCAACGAGCAGAAUUUUAAAUUUCACACCACUUUUUUUGAUUUUUGUUUUGUUUAGUGUGCAUGCAUGGGGCGGUUCAUAGGGAAAGGCGUUAUUUUUGCUCUCUUCAGGGAGUGUUUUAGUGUACACAUGCAUGCUUGCCUGGCUGAUAGGAAUGCAUUUACUGCUCUUUAUUGUUAGUCCUGAGCACCAGCAGGAGCCCUGGACUGCAUGGGGUGUUCACAGAGAUUGAUUUUGAGAUGGCAUUAGGCGUACAGCUCAGCUGACAGCGAUGGGAGGCAAAAUGUCCACGGAAUCUAAGAGGCUUUGCUAUGAAAGGGGAGUGGCUUCAAGUCUAAUUACGAAACGGAACUAAGCAGAAGCAGCAUAAUAGAUUACAUGAACGUAUCUACUGGGCUCACAGCAUCAGCUGUUUCCAUCUGAUUGUAGCACAGUUUCUCAGGACAAAAACUAAUUGAAUAUCAGUUUUUUUUUCUUCUAGAUAAAGACACAUGUUCACAUAAUGUUCUUUUUCAAACCACUAAUUACUUUUUAAUGACACGCUCAAAUGAGUUAGCUUGUACUGGUGAAAAAAAAGAUGGUCAGAGUUUUUAAAGCAGUCAUGUCUUUCUCUCAGCUCUUAUCUUAGGAGUAUGUUGUUUGUAUAAUAUCUAACCAAAUUCUUUUCAUAUGUCUGAAUCCAUUUAAGAAUAACCUGACAUAAUUUUUUUUAUGCCUUGGUUUUAUAAACGUAAGAUUUUAUUGAAGGACUGGCAAUUUUAGAUAAUAAAUAAUGUUAACAUUAUAAAUCAUGUUUAUGUGGGUUACAAUUGAAUUGUUAUACAGAACUGUUAAGAAAUUGUAAAUAUAGCUAACUUCUUCCAUUGUCUGCCUUUUUUUUUUUUUUUUUUUUUACAAAAGUAAUGUAAAUUGGAAGUAAUGUAAAUUGGCUGCUACUCUGUUUGAUUCACAUUCGCCUUGUGAAAAUAACUAGAGGCUUAUUAGAAACUUUCAUGAAAAGACCCCAUAACCAGAAACAAAGCUUUUAUUUUUACUUAUAUUAUUAUGUAAUCUAGUGAUAUAAUGCUUAUAUUAUGCAUGUCACAAGGUUUAAUCAAGGAACAUUAUAUUAUUAUUUAAGUUAUUGGUGUCAUUAAUGUAUUGUAAUGUCAUUCUUUGUUACUGAUGCACAUUCAAAGAUUUUUUUAUUUUUUUUUUCCCACUGUAAUUGUAUUUCAUUAAGAACUACCAUUUAUUGAAUUAUUUUACUUGACACUGAAUGUGCCUUUAUCAUUAAGUCAUGGCAAAUGUUGUAUCCAAUGACAGUUUGAACCCCUAAAUAAACUCUCUAUAAAAAGUUCGGAACAAUGUUAUGAAUUUGUCAUGACUUGAGUGAGUUUACUCUGCCUUCCCCCUGUUUCCUCUCUCUGUGUUAAUAGCUUUCAUACACCUGUAUCCGUGCAGGUGUUUUCCUCUUUAUGAUUACCUCUCCCACCCACCGAGCUAAUUUCAGCUUUGGAAAAAUAACCCAUGGAAAUUUCACUAGUUUACUAAAUAACGACUUCAUUUGGCAUGCUCUUUCUCUCUCUUGUGCAGACAGCCACAUUAGUUGUGGUGUUUAACUAUUGUGUAGCUGGGAAGCAUUUCAAAUCCAUUUGAAAUUUAUUCAGGUUUAAGACGUUUAUCAUGAUGCAUUCCCCUCUUGGGCUGCUAUCAACAACAGGCAGGUACCCUAUGUCUCACUAUAAUGACACUUUAAAACUAAUCUAUUUUGGGGUGUUUGUGACACAUACCCUUAGUGCGAAACCAGGAUCAAUUGCUCCAUUUCAGCAGCAUUUUGGGGAGAAG